UACAGAGGUCCCGAGCGUUGUUCGGAUUCACUGGGCGUAAAGGGUGCGCAGGUGGGUUGGCAAGUUUGAUGUGAAAGCCCCGGGCUUAACCCGGGAAUGGCAUUGAAUACUGCUGAUCUGGAGGAUCGGAGGGGGGACUGGAAUUCCCGGUGUAGCGGUGAAAUGCGUAGAUAUCGGGAGGAAUACCUAUGGCGAAGGCAGGUUACUGGGCCAUCACUGACGCUGAGCUGCGAAAGCUAGGGGAGCAAACAGG
rnacentral:rRNA from 1 species